ACCUUGUUACGACUUCUCCUUCCUCUAAGUGUUAAGGUUCACAAAACUUCCCAUUUCGGGCACGAACGCGCCACAAAACGGUCCGAAUAAUUCACCGGAACACUCAAUCGGUAGGAGCGACGGGCGGUGUGUACAAAGGGCAGGGACGUAAUCGGCGCAAGCUGCUGACUUGCGCCUACUAGGCAUUCCUCGUUGAAGAUUAAUAAUUGCAAUAAUCUAUCCCCAUCACGAUGCAUACUCACAAGAUUACCUAGACCUAUCGGCCAAGGUUAUAAACUCGUUGGAUGCAUCAGUGUAGCGCGCGUGCAGCCCAGAACAUCUAAGGGCAUCACAGACCUGUUAUUGCCUCAAACUUCCUUGCGUUAGACACGCAAAGUCCCUCUAAGAAGUGAUACAAGAACACGAAGUUCCUGAGCCUAUUUAGCAGGUUAAGGUCUCGUUCGUUAACGGAAUUAACCAGACAAAUCACUCCACCAACUAAGAACGGGCAUGCA